AGGCCAUCAAUCGACAGAGAUCAGGGAUAUCUCAUCCCAUCUGCAUACGAUGAACUGAUAAAACAACAGAUUAGACCAGCUAUUAUUGCUAAUUAAUCUUAUCAGCCAUGUAUAUUUUGUUUCUGCCUCAUGGACUAUUGGCUUCCUCUUAUUGUCACUACAUUAUUACUACCAUCCAUUGUUGUUGUUAAUCCCCAUGAUC